rnacentral:rRNA from 1 species
CUUUCUUUGCUGGCGACCGGCGCACGGGUGAGUAACACGUAUCCAACCUGUCCUUUACUCGGGGACAGCCUUUCGAAAGAAAGAUUAAUACCCGAUAGUAUAAUGAUUCCGCAUGGUUUCAUUAUUAAAGGAUUCCGGUAAAGGAUGGGGAUGCGUUCCAUUAGGUUGUUGGUGAGGUAACGGCUCACCAAGCCUUCGAUGGAUAGGGGUUCUGAGAGGAAGGUCCCCCACAUUGGAACUGAGACACGGUCCAA